UACGUAGGGUGCGAGCGUUGUCCGGAAUCACUGGGCGUAAAGCGCACGUAGGCGGACUCUUAAGUCGGGGGUGAAAUCCUGGAGCUCAACUCCAGAACUGCCUUCGAUACUGGGAGCCUUCGAGUUCGGGAGAGGUGAGUGGAACUGCGAGUGUAGAGGUGAAAUUCGUAGAUAUUCGCAAGAACACCAGUGGCGAAGGCGGCUCACUGGCCCGAUACUGACGCUGAGGUGCGAAAGCGUGGGGAGCAAACAGG
rnacentral:rRNA from 1 species